UGCCGCCGGAUGCCAAUCUGUCACAAGUGCACAACAGACUGAGUCCAAGAACAAUUGAGUUGACUGCGCACAUGUACUAUCGCCGAGUCCCCCGGAGGGCAUCUGAAACAGGAAGCAAGAUGUCUGUUACUAUGCAAAGCCCUGCGCUUCCUGGAUCAGAAAUCUGUUCCUGUUCUGCAUCUCUGCCUGUACCUCCCUUCGCUCUGCUCUGCGGAGAAGAGGAAAGCACUCCAGGCUGGAGCAUGGCGGAGCUGCAGAUUUUACAGCUUUUGAAAACCUGUCUCCACUGAAGCAGGAGAAUGAGGGCCUACUCUCCGCUGCAGGUUGCAACACUCACAAGACAGACAGCCGCACAGGCCCGUCUACCAGCGGAAGUCCUACAGAAACUGCGGUGUCACGGGCAUCUCCAUGGUCUCUCUGAUCAUUUAAAAAUCACAUCUGGUGUUGUCAACAUGAAGACCGUCCCGUGACAAUGGCUUUCACAAGGACCUCUAGUAGCAGUCUCUGCCGGCUGGACAGCAAACCUUCUCCAUGUCCAUGGGCCUUCGUGGGGCUCCAGGCCUGUUGUGCGAGGCUCUGCUCAGCUUUCCCGGGGCCUCUCCUGCCCUCCCUGCGCUUCCUCGGGUGCAGCCACCGUCAGCUCCUCCCAGCUGUCACAUUCAGCGUCCUGGUUCCUCUUGGAGCACCUCCUGGCCUCUGCAGGCUUCUCACCUCUCACUGUGAAGCUGAGCACGCCUCCUGGGCCAGUUUCCCUCAGUUACCCCAGGGGACACACCUGGUGCUCUUAGCUCUGGGUGAGUCCAGAGAGACAAUGCAGGUCAAGCCUUGCAGUGCCCAGCAUCCUGGAUUUAAUCAACGUUGGCUGCUUUCAUUAAUAAUUGGAGUCUCAGUUUUGAUGAACAUCGUUUGAGCUCACCGUCAUGGUUUGCCUGGUGAUCUACUGUAGCACUUUAUCUAGACGGCUACAAAUUUCAUGUUUCCAAUAAAAAAGGGAAUUAGGACAAA